rnacentral:rRNA from 1 species
UACGAAGGGGGCUUGCGUUGUUCGGAAUUACUGGGCGUAAAGGGCGCGUAGGCGGUGUGUCAAGUCAGGCGUGAAAGCCCCGGGCUCAACCUGGGAACCGCGCUUGAGACUGGCACGCUCGAGUUCGGGAGAGGGAUGCGGAAUUCCAGGUGUAGCGGUGAAAUGCGUAGAUAUCUGGAGGAACACCGGUGGCGAAGGCGGCAUCCUGGACCGAGAUUGACGCUGAGGCGCGAAAGCCAGGGGAGCAAACGGG